rnacentral:rRNA from 1 species
AGAGUUUGAUCCUGGCUCAGAUUGAACGCUGGCGGUAGGCUUAACACAUGCAAGUCGAGCGGUAACAGACAUUUUGAUUUUGCUUGCAAAAUCUCGUGCUGACGAGCGGCGAACGGGUGAGUAACGCGUAGGAAUCUACCUAGUAGAAGGGGAUAGCCCGAGGAAACUCGGAUUAAUACCGUAUACGUCCUUAGGGAGAAAGAGGGCUUAGCUUUGAUGCUCUCGCUAUUAGAUGAGCCUGCGUAAGAUUAGCUUGUUGGUGAGGUAAAGGCUCACCAAGGCGACGAUCUUUAGCUGGUCUGAGAGGACGAUCAGCCACAUUGGGACUGAGACACGGCCCAGACUCCUACGGGAGGCAGCAGUGGGGAAUAUUGGACAAUGGGCGCAAGCCUGAUCCAGCCAUACCGCGUGUGUGAAGAAGGCCUUCGGGUUGUAAAGCACUUUAAGUAAGGAAGAAAAGAGUAUUGUUAAUACCAAUACUCCGUGACAUUACUUACAGAAUAAGGACCGGCUAAUUCCGUGCCAGCAGCCGCGGUAAUACGGAAGGUCCAAGCGAUAAUCGGAAUUACUGGGCGUAAAGCGCGCGUAGGUGGUUUAUUAAGUUGGUGUGAAAGCCCC